AGUUCUUCUCCGACCCACAGCAAAAUGGCUGCUCUGUCGCCAUCUUAAGAGGUGAUCAUAAGAACUCAGAGUGAGGUUGGACACAGAGUCAGACAAGGACAGAGGAAAAGGAUGCUUUUUGAACUGAUACAUAGUGCUAAAUGACUAAAAAGAAAUGUGCCAAUAACCUCCCCGCAAAAGUAUGGAACCAUAAUUCUCCCUCCAGGGUUGUUAACAUUAAUACAAGGAUUCCAGAGAUCACGCAAUUUCAAAAAUGUGGAGCAACGCUCAUGGAGCAUUACAUGAAACUGGUGAUAGUUCGCUGAAGAAUAAUAUUAUAGAAAAACAAUUUUUUCAAUGUUUUUGGUUUGCUGACACGACACUCAAGACAGAAAUGGCUACGUCUUGGGCCUUGAAAUUCAUUUCAACAUGAUAAUGAUGAUGACGACAAAAAAGGAGGAGGAGGAGGAGGGGAUUUUGAUUAACACCAGUGCCGCCAGCACCACUACCAUCACUACAACUACUGCUAUUACAACUUCUGCCACUCCUACUACAAGAUUAAAUAGAUGGCUUGAAUUCUUGGUUGCUUUAUAAAAUGUUUACAUUUUAAACUUUAACAUUUUUAAAUAUUAAAUGGAUUUUCAUAAGCCAAGUGAGGUGCUCAUACUAUGAGAGAUACAUAGAUGUCUCUGGAAACUAAAUGUGACUGGAAACUAUGAAUUAAAAUACCUCACUUCUCCUCUAUUUUAUUUUAGGCCCUAAUCUGAGAGCUAACAGUAGGUAACAUUGCAUUAUUAAUUUUAUGUUUUGCCCUUAUUUUUGUAAGUUUACAAUUGUUGUUUUUACACAUAAACUUGAUUUAAGUCUAUAAAUUGUGUAAAUAGGGAACUCUAUAAUUCUGAUAAACAUAAUAAUUAGUGUCAAUAUAGCAUGUGAAGCAGGACCAUUUACUGACUGUGUGUGUAUAUGUGUGUGCAUGUGUAAGAUAAUCUGAUUUAAAAGUUUAUGCUAAUUUUAUGACUAAAGAGCCAAAGUGAUACCAA